rnacentral:rRNA from 1 species
UUAAGAGUCCUUAAGUCCUCUGAUGUCCUUCGGGACUAGGGGUGAGGCUGAACGCUCGAUCCGAUCGGGUAGUAGGUAAGCGAUGGGGUGACGCAGGAAGGUAGUCCAGCCCAGGCGAUGGUUGUCCUGGGGUAAGCAUGUAGGGCGGAACGUAGGUAAAUCCGCGUUCUAUUCAGCCUGAGAUGUGAUGCCGAGCCGAUUGUGGUGAAGUGGAUGAUCCUAUGCUGCCGAGAAAAGCCCCUAGUGAGUGUUGUGGCGGCCCGUACCCUAAACCGACUCAGGUGGUCAGGUAGAGAAUACCAAGGCGAUCGGGUGAACUGUGGUUAAGGAACUCGGCAAAUUGCCCCCGUAACUUCGGGAGAAGGGGGACCUCUGCUGGUGAUGGGCUUUACGUUCUGAGCUGGUGGGGGUCGCAGUGGCCAGGGGGAAGCGACUGUGUACUAAAAACACAGGCCCGUGCGAAGUCGUAAGACGAUGUAUACGGACUGACGCCUGCCCGGUGCCGGAACGUUAAGGGGACCGCUUAGCCAACGCGAGUUGGCGAAGGUGAGAACUUAAGCGCCGGUAAACGGCGGUGGUAACUAUAACCAUCCUAAGGUAGCGAAAUUCCUUGUCGGGUAAGUUCCGACCUGCACGAAUGGCGUAACGACUUCCCCUCUGUCUCAACCACAGACCCGGCGAAAUUGCACUACGAGUAAAGAUGCUCGUUUCGCGCAGCAGGACGGAAAGACCCCGGGACCUUCACUACAGCUUGACAUUGGCGUUUGGAACGUCUUGUGUAGGAUAGGUGGGAGACUGGGAAGCUGUCACGCUAGUGAUGGUGGAGUCAUUGGUGAAAUACCACUCUGGUCGUUUUGAACGUCUAACUCUGGUCCGUGAUCCGGAUCGGGGACAGUGUCUGGUGGGUAGUUUAACUGGGGCGGUUGCCUCCUAAAGAGUAACGGAGGCGCCCAAAGGUUCCCUCAGCCUGGUUGGCAAUCAGGUGUUGAGUAUAAGUGCACAAGGGAGCUUGACUGUGAGACUGACAGGUCGAGCAGGAGCGAAAGCUGGGACUAGUGAUCCGGCAUCGGCGUGUGGAAGCGGUGUCGCUCAACGGCUAAAAGGUACCCCGGGGAUAACAGGCUGAUCUUCCCCAAGAGUCCAUAUCGACGGGAUGGUUUGGCACCUCGAUGUCGGCUCGUCGCAUCCUGGGGCUGGAGUAGGUCCCAAGGGUUGGGCUGUUCGCCCAUUAAAGCGGUACGCGAGCUGGGUUUAGAACGUCGCGAGACAGUUCGGUCCCUAUCCGCUGCGCGCGCAGGAGACUUGAAGGGGGCUGUCCCUAGUACGAGAGGACCGGGACGGACGAACCUCUGGUGUGCCAGUUGUACCGCCAGGUGCACGGCUGGUUGGCUACGUUCGGAAGGGAUACCCGCUGAAAGCAUCUAAGCGGGAAGCUCGCCUUGAGAUGAGGUCUCCCACCCCGUGAGGGGGUAAGGCUCCCGGUAGAUCACCGGGUUGAUAGGCCGGAGGUGGAAGCACGGUAACGUGUGGAGCUGACCGGUACUAAUAGGCCGAGGACUUGACCAC